GACUACUGGGGUAUCUAAUCCCGUUCGCUACCCUGGCUUUCGCAUCUCAGCGUCAGACACAGUCCAGAAAGGCGCCUUCGCCACUGGUGUUCCUCCCAAUAUCUACGCAUUUCACCGCUACACUGGGAAUUCCCCUUUCCUCUCCUGCACUCAAGCCUACCAGUUUCCAGCGCCAUACGGGGUUGAGCCCCGCAUUUUCACGCUCGACUUAAUAGGCCGCCUACAUGCUCUUUACGCCCAAUAAUUCCGGACAACGCUCGCCACCUACGUAUUACCGCGGCUGCUGGCACGUAGUUAGCCGUGGCUUCCUCGUUUACUACCGUCAUUGCAAUGCAUUGUUCACACACUGCACGUUCGUCAUAAACAACAGAGUUUUACAGACCGAAAUCCUUCAUCACUCACGCGGCGUUGCUCCGUCAGACUUUCGUCCAUUGCGGAAGAUUCCCCACUGCAGCCUCCCGUAGG
rnacentral:rRNA from 1 species